AGAACAUACAAUUGCAACAUGUUGUGAAUACAUCGUCCUUUCCAGCAGGUGUAGCUGUUGAUUCCGCCAAUGAUCAUGUCUACUGGGUUGUUAGUGAUGGUAACACACUUUCAAGAUGCAAAUCAGAUGGAACAAACGUAGUUGUAUUCACAAGUUUUAGUGACACUUUUAUGAUCCGAGUUGAUUUUACAAACAGAUGGAUGUAUAUAGGUUAUUUCAAUACAGGAAUAUCCAAGUCCAGAUUCGAUUUAACUGACAUUAGAAUGAUUGCAAAUUUUUCAACUCAGACCCUCUGUAUGGAUAUAGACCUGAUUGAACAAAGAAUGUAUUGGAUGAAUAUCGAUAGUGAUAUAAAAUCAGUUAAUGUGGAUGGUUCUGAUGUUAAAACUAUAUUUUCAAUGCAUUCUUUUAACAUCAACUAUGCUGUAGGGGUAUUGUUUAGUAAUAUUUACUAUGCUAGUAGAAAUCAGUUAGUGAUGAUGAAUAAAUCACAGGGAUCCACACCAACUGUUCUAUAUACAGACACAAGCUUCAUUUAUAGCAUAUAUGUAUUUAAAUCAACAGGUAUGUGAUUAAUCUUGAAAUAAGACUUAAAACAAUUACCAAUAUCAGAAGUUGAGACAUGACGCUUUUGAAAUCAAAACUAAUUGAUGAUGUCAUACUUGAAAAAUAAAACAAAAAACACUACUAAACAUAUAAAGACAUGAGAAAACGGGCAAUUAAUCCCAAUUACGGAAAAAAUAAGAAAUCAAAGAAAGAUAUGCUUAACAAAAAAGUUAAAAAAAAUGUAAACAACAGUGAAAAAACAUCGAGUAAGACGAACUACUAAUAGAGGAAAAUAUUUUCUGAAUCAUUUGUUUGAUAAUGUACUUGAAUUAACUUUAAAAUAAGCAAUAUGAGGUUUAUACAUUAUCACAGAAAGGUAAUUCUUACUGCAGUUAAAUCUUCAAUCUUCAAAGUUGUAACACUCGUCCCGUAGUUAUACCCAUUAAAAAUUAUAUGUAAUACACGGCUAUGACACCCAUCAAACAAAAUGCACGACGAAGCUAACUGAACAAAUUUACCUUUGCUUAUAUUAGACUGUGAAAUAGUAAAAUUAGUAUGAUAUAACAUUAUCUAAUUUUGGUACUCAUAUUUUGAAACAUUUUGAUACAUGUUGUACUUAUAGCUUUGGCUUUGAUAUAGUUAUUCUUAACAUGUGUAUUGUGAAUUGCCUAUUGCUUUGUUAUUGUAUUCAAUAUUAUUAAACAAUUUGCAUUCACAUUACUGUAUAUGCGUUAGUUCUACCGACUUUACUUUCUCUAGCUAUUGAUAUAACGGCGGCUUCUAUUUUUUUAACAUUAAACGCCAAUGAAAACUACUGUAUUUAUUUAGAAUCAAUUGCUGCAUUUCAGGACGUUUAUUUACUGUGUUUAUUUACAGCGGGAAACUUCUAUUGACUUUAUUUAUUUAACGUAUUGUUGUUUUAAACUGUGACUUCCUUAUAUCAAUAAGAAUAUGAUCAAGUUAAAAGAAGUAUUGUGUUUGUAUUUUUUUUUUAAUUUUUUUAACGACAAGGGAUCAUUAAAACGGUAAAAUUAAGAUUUGUUUUAGGGGCUUUAAAUGAAAUACUACGACAUAACUAUUUUGAUCUAAAUGCGAUAGAUAAUAUUACAUUUCUGUUAAUAUAAGUCAUUUAGCACAGUUGUGUCACAACCAUUUUUUCUAUAGAAUAAUAAGUAUGUUUUAUAAUCAAAUUCAAUUCUUCAAGUCCCUAUUCUAUAUUUGCUAAACUUUUAUUUCAAAACCAUUGUUUUAGAAGUAUUUUCUUUCCAAUGUUAGAAGUAAAGAGCAAAAAGCAAAUGAAACAAAAUUCAAAUAAACAUAAUUAAGUAUUUUUUUUAAACAUUUUAAUGGAUCGACGUCAAUACUGCAACGACUUCAGCAAAUGAUGCAGUAGUUUGGAAGGAAGAAACAGAAUCAAGAUUGGCAAUUUGCGACCUAUGAUUGUAUUGAUAAUACACUUACAUCUUGUCCUCAUCAAUGUGGCCAUUUUUGAUAAUCUAGAUUUUGUACUACAGCUUCGACAUGAAAUUGCAGGACGGUAGGAUUCCAGAUAAGGUUAAGGACUUUUACAAAAUUAUGUUAUAAAUCAUAUCAGACCAGAAGCACUGAAUACUGCCUUGAUCUCCUCAGUGGUAUCGACCUUUUUUAUGAAAACGAAAAGAUGUUUCAUACUUGGCUAUGCGGUUGACACGACAACGAGAUACAGUGGGACUGCGAAAAGAGGUGUUUCCAGCUUUAUGUUAGAAAUCAUGACCAUAACGUCACUUUGCAUAAAUAAUAUGCACAAACUGUCACAUAAAAUGGAAUACGACUGCCAACAACAAAAGUUAUAAUGUGUAGGAAAAUGAACGAUGCUCAACAUUUUUGAUUAGUUGAUACAAAAACAAACCAACAGAGUUUCGAGAAGAAAGGAAACAUUGGUCUCAAAUUAGCAUCCUACACUUAAAAAAAUGGAGCCCCUUACAAAAAAGUACGGAUUCCAGAGCGAAAUAAAACAACGACGCGUCGUUUAUAAAAGUAAAAACAAGGACAGUUGACUUAAAAUAGAUGCAUUAAAUCUUUGAAACAGUGUGUAUUGAUGCUACAUCUUAUGUGUCUUUAGUGUAUAUAUAAUAGUAAAAUCCCCCUGUUACAAAUAUUGACAAUAGAGAACUUUCAAUAAUGCAAGGAAAGGCAGAGAAAUAAAAUAAAAGAAACAUUAAUUCAGUCUCAGAUGCUUAAUUCAACCUUCGUUUUUUUCGGAAAUUUGCGUUGGUUCGUUCAAAUUGUAAAUAUGAUGCUAAAUUUUAAAAAAAUCCAUUAGUGAUCCACAACAACAUGAAAUACAUAGCUUCUUUGAUUCAUAUGCAGUAUAUAUCUUAUAUGCAGUCUU